rnacentral:rRNA from 1 species
CCUACUGGUGGCAGCAGUGAGGAAUAUUGGUCACUGGGCGCGAGCCUGAACCAGCCAAGUCGCGUGAGGGAUGACGGUCCUACGGAUUGUAAACCUCUUUUGCCGGGGAGCAAGCGUGCGUUCGUGAACGCGCGUCGAGAGUACCCGGAAAAAAAGCAACGGCUAACUCCGUGCCAGCAGCCGCGGUAAUUCGGAGGAUGCGAGCGUUAUCCGGAUUUAUUGGGUGUAAAGGGGGCGUAGGCGGGAUGCGAACUCAGCGGUAAAACUGCGGUGCUCAACGCCGUCGAGCAGUUGAUACUGGCGUUCUUGAGUGGGCGAGAGGUGUGCGGAAUGCGUGGUGUAGCGGUGAAAUGCAUAGAUA